rnacentral:misc_RNA from 1 species
GUUUUAGGUUCCCUAAGAAGUUCAAACAGUAGAGGCCCCUAUUUGUAUCGGCGAUUCUUUUGUUCAGAUUCUACUGAUGGGUCCGAACUGAAUUCCGAAGCCAAGCAGGUCGAGGGCGAAAUUGAAGGUGGAGAUGCUCAUUCAAAGGCUUCUGCAGCGAUUGUUCCUACUGUAUUUAGGCCUGAAGAUUGCCUAACGGUUCUAGCGCUGCCACUUCCCCACAGACCAUUAUUUCCAGGGGUUUAUAUGCCUAUUUAUGUAAAGGAUCCUAAGGUAUUAGCAGCCUUGGUGGAAAGUCGAAAAAGGCAAGCACCUUAUGCUGGUGCUUUCCUAGUAAAAGAUGAGCAAGGGACUGAUCCUAAUGUUGUGUCUGCAUCAGAUACAGAAAAAAACAUCUAUGAGCUAAAAGGGAAAGAUUUGUUUAACCGUCUUCAUGAAGUUGGUACACUU